UGUCCAGUAGCACCUUAGAGACCAACUAAGUUUGUUCUUGGUAUGAGUUUCCGUGUGCAUGCACAUGAAAAUUCAUUCCAAGAACAAACAUAGUUGGUCUCUAAGGUGCUACUGGACA